rnacentral:misc_RNA from 1 species
GUUUGCACACGACCCGCUUCCUACGGUGUCGACCGCCAGUUCUACCGUGCACUUGACGAAAUCAUUGGAGUUGUUUACCGCAGAUCUUGAAGCUUCAAGCCGACUUUUCGUUAGCGGGGUGGGAAUACCUCAAUUCGAAUUGUGGAUAUCGCAGGAUAAAAUACCAAGAUGAGCAAGAAGUGUGGAAAGUGCUCCAAGACGGUGUAUCCAACCGAGGAGCUGAAAUGCUUAGACAAGGUGUGGCACAAAGCAUGUUUUAAAUGUCAAGUUUGCAAUAUGACGUUAAACAUGAAGAACUACAAGGGAUAUGAUAAACUUCCAUAUUGCAAUGCACAUUACCCACAGACGAAGCACACAGCAGUUGCAGACACCCCUGAGAGUAGACGUAUUGCUGAAAAUACUAAAAUCCAAAGUAAUAGAGAAUACCAUAGUGACUUCGAAAAACAGAAAGGUAGCUACACUGCCAUACCGGACAAUCCUGAACUCCUGCGACAUCUGCAAAAUACCAAGAAUACCAGUCUGGUACAGUACCAUAGUGAGUUCGAGAGGUUCAAGUCCUCAUAUACAGUGAUACCUGAUAACCCUGAGCUACAGCGCCACAUGCUUAACACCAAGAAUGCCAGUCUGAGUGCCUACCAUGCGGAUUUUGAGAAGACCAAAAGUGACUACACUACGGUUGUGGAUCCCCUGGUUAUGAAGAAAUGUCUUGAAAGUACCAAGAAUCUAAGUUCGACUCGGUACCAUGCUGAUUUUGAGAGGACCAAAAGUGACUAUACUACGGUUGUGGAUCCCCUGGUCAUGAAGAAGUGUCUUGAGAAUACCAAGAAUCUUAGUGCGAAUGUGUACCAUGCUGACUUCGAGAAGACCAAGGGAAACUACACGACGGUGGUUGAUCCCAUGUCGGUCAGGAAAUGUCUUGAAAACACAAAGAACCUUAGCACGACUCAGUACAAGAAAGACUUUCAGGAGUCCAAGGGCAAGGUCAAGUCUAUUGCUGACCCUUUGACCCUCAAAACUGCCAUGGCUGCCACCAAGAAUGCUAGCUUGGUUCGAUACCACAGUGACUUUGAGAAGGAGAAAUCUCACUAUACUGUGGUUGCCGACCCUCUAGAGAUGCAACGCCAUAAGGACAACCAGAAAAACAUCAGUGGGGUUGAAUAUCACAAAGAUUUUGAGCAUACGAAAAGUCAAUACACAACAGUUGCCGAUUCUGCCGAUAUGAAGCGCCACCAAUCUAAUCAGAAAAUUCUGAGUGCGGUGGAGUACCACAGUGAAUUUGAGAAGGGCAAGAUGUCUGUGAACAUGCCAGCUGAUGCCCUCGAUUUCAAACGAAGUAUGACCAAUCAGAAACUGGCUAGUGAGGUAGACUAUCACAAAGACUUUGAGAUGUCCAAGAGCAAAUACACUCAAGUGGCCGACACUGUGGAGAUGAGGCGCCACCAGGGGAACAAACAGAUUCUGAAGGGGGUGGCUCCACAACCCUCCCAACCCACACCUCAAUCUCCCACUCCUCAAUCCCCCACUCCUCAAUCCCCCACCCCUCAAUCCCCAACCCAAUUACUACAAGAACCCAAACUUGGAGCUCCUAAACAGGUGCCCAAACAAUCUCCCAAACAACUUCCUGAGGAGCCACCCAAACAGCUCUCUCAAGCGCCUACUAAAGUAGUUUCACAGAAACCAGUUAAAGCGGUUCCUCAAGAACCAGUUAAAGAGGUUCCUCAAGAACCAGUUAAAGAGGUUCCUCAAGAACCAGCUAAGAAGGUUGCAGAAGAACCAGCUAAGAAGGUUGCAGAAGAACCAGCUAAGAAGGUUGCAGAAGAACCAGCUAAGAAGAUUGCACAAGAACCAGCUGAAAAGGUUGCAGAAGAACCUGUGAACAAGGUUCCUCAAGAACCAGUUAAAGAGCUUCCUCAAGAACCAGUUAAAGAGGUUCCUCAAGAACCAGCUAAGAAGGUUGCACAAGAACCAGCUGAAAAGGUUGCAGAAGAACCUGUGAACAAGGUUCCUCAAGAACCAGCUGAAGAGCUUCCUCAAGAACCAGCUGAAGAGCUUCCUCAAGAACCAGCUAAACAGGUUGCAGAAGAACCUGUGACCGAGGUUCCUCAAGAACCAGCUAAAAAGGUUGCAGAAGAACCUGUGACCAAGGUUCCUCAAGAACCAGCUGAAGAGCUUCCACAAGAGCCUCCAAGUGAGGCUGUGGAGCAGCAAUGACUGGCUGGACUUGUUAUCUGCCUCCUGUAUGGACAACUGACCUCUGCUACGAUUAAGUACCAUGAAAACUUUGAAAAAGAAAAAGGCAAAAAAAUGUCUGUGGCUGACGACCCAGAAAC